AAAUUGAAGAGUUUGAUCAUGGCUCAGAUUGAACGCUGGCGGCAGGCCUAACACAUGCAAGUCGAACGGUAACAGGAAGAAGACUUGCUUCUUUGCUGACGAGUGGCGGACGGGUGAGUAAUGUCUGGGAAACU
rnacentral:rRNA from 1 species